UAUUUUCUUGACUUCAGACCAG
rnacentral:miRNA from 1 species